CCUACGGGAGGCAGCAGUAGGGAAUCUUUCACAAUGGGCGAAAGCCUGAUGGAGCAACGCCGCGUGCAGGAUGAAGGCCUUCGGGUUGUAAACUGCUUUUAUAAGCGAGAAAUAUGAUGGUAACUUAUGAAUAAGGAUCGGCUAACUACGUGCCAGCAGCCGCGGUCAUACGUAGGAUCCGAGCAUUAUCCGGAGUGACUGGGUGUAAAGAGUUGCGUAGGUGGCAUAAUAAGUAGAUAGUGAAAUCUGGUGGCUCAACCAUUCAGACGAUUAGCUAAACUGGUAAGCUCGAGACCGUUAGGGGUAACUGGAAUUUCUAGUGUAGGAGUGAAAUGCGUAGAUAUUAGAAGGAACACCAAUAGCGUAGGCAGGUUACUGGGACGGUUCUGACACUAAGGCACGAAAGCGUAGGGAGCAAACGGGAUUAGAUACCCGGGUAGUC
rnacentral:rRNA from 1 species